rnacentral:lncRNA from 1 species
GAAAAUGGCGCCAAAGAAGCAAAAAAGUAGAAAGGUGGCGUCGAGGGAGUAGAAAGUGAACUGGGGAGUUGCAAAUUUAAAGCCCUAAAUUAUUGAAAGCCAUUUUAACUUCUUUGUGCUGCCCAUCUUUUCUUAAAAAACAAAAAUUGUUGGUUGCCCUUUUCUACCUUCUUUGCUUCCUUGCAUUUUCACCUGUUGCAGACAAAAAUAAAGUUUGUUGUAUUCAACACACAAAACUUUUAUCUGAGUUGGUUGCAAAAUUUCAACAUGGUAGUGAAACUAGAAAUUUCUCUAGUAGUGUUCUCGUCAUAAUUUCUGUUGUCAUGUUGUAAUUUUUUUCCACUCCUUUGUUCAUGUGUGUGUUUUUGAGAUUGCAUUCUUCAUUCCCCAUUAUGCUGACUCUCAAUGCUCAUCAUCUGACUUGAAGGUUGUCAGAAACUGAAUUCUUUUCGCAGUCGUACCAAGUCUGGCAAUGGGUAGUUAGUUAAAUAAGCUUUUGAUAUUGCUUUUGCAGUACAGGUGCUUUGCCAGUUUACACUGUGAUCGGCUAUUUUCUUGGUCACGGGGAGUCUGGACCAGCAUGAAGCAUUACACUGUGAUAGCAAG